GUGAACGCUGGCGGUAGGCCUCACACCUGCAAGUCGCACGGCAGCACAGUAAGAGCUUGCUCUUACGGGUGGCGAGUGGCGGACGGGUGAGGAAUACAUCGGAAUCUACUUUUUCGUGGGGGAUAACGUAGGGAAACUUACGCUAAUACCGCAUACGACCUACGGGUGAAAGCAGGGGAUCUUCGGACCUUGCGCGAUUGAAUGAGCCGAUGUCGGAUUAGCUAGUUGGCGGGGUAAAGGCCCACCAAGGCGACGAUCCGUAGCUGGUCUGAGAGGAUGAUCAGCCACACUGGAACUGAGACACGGUCCAGACUCCUACGGGAGGCAGCAGUGGGGAAUAUUGGACAAUGGGCGCAAGCCUGAUCCAGCCAUACCGCGUGGGUGAAGAAGGCCUUCGGGUUGUAAAGCCCUUUUGUUGGGAAAGAAAAGCAGCAGGUUAAUACCCCGCUGUUCUGACGGUACCCAAAGAAUAAGCACCGGCUAACUUCGUG
rnacentral:rRNA from 1 species